rnacentral:misc_RNA from 1 species
GGUUAAGCCUAUGAUUGUAGCUUUUUUUUUACUGCUGAAUAUAUAUGAUAUUAGAUUUCACUAUUGCAAAUAUGCAGUUAUUGAUCUCUAAUCGACAUAAGCAAUAGUAGCAUUACCAUAUUCUCUACACAUUCUCCCUAUGCAAAGGUGUAGUGAUGGGAUUCUCCAUGACCUGUGUAGUUUGCUUGGGAGGCACUGAAAAAAAAGCUACAAUCAUAGGCUUAACCUUCUCUGUAGUCUUGAUAAUACCCAAGAAUAGAAGCCUGUAAAGAAUAACCAUUCAUUCCUAAUAAAACGGCAAGAUCAACCCACUUAGAGUAACUCAAAUCCACUUGCCAUAUAUUCCUCAAAAUUUCUUCACCACCAAUGGUUGGUGAACCUUCCAGGCGUCCAGCUUGAUUAUUAGUAGCAAAGGUUAGACCUUCAAAUUCAUUUUUGAACAUGCCCUGGUAAGCAUACCUAUGGAAAGAAAUAUAGUACAUUGGGUAUUUCCAAAUUGGCCCCGGAAGGUCAUUUGGCAACCUGAAGAAUCCUCCACCUAAAAUCAUGAGUCCUUGAAUCCCAGAUCCAGUUAUAAUACCCAUCAGAAAAUUAGGUACAAUGCUUGCAACAGUCAUCAUCAAGCUCUCAACUAGCAUCAAACAAGCGAAUAAUGCGAUAAUAAAAAAUAGGAAGUGUUCAAAUCCCUUGUGAAGCCCUGGAAAGUAG